AUAGUAUGAAGAAUUAAAAGUUGGAAAACUUGUUCCAUGCUUUGUUGGACUAACAGAGCAACUUCGAAUAAUGGUAGAAAAUCUAGAAACAGUUAAAGAGUUAUAGAUCGAAGCAUAAGCUUUCCACGGGGUCUACUUCUGAUUACAAUUGUAGUAGCAUUAUGGACCAUCCUGAAUUUUCCACUUAUGCAUCCAAAAUGUUCAAAGUGAACGUGCUUUUUACGCAAUUGCUGACAAAAAAAACUUUGUUAUGAACACUCAUAGCACGAUGAAUACAUCAGGUGUGGUUCAGGCGCAAAUUCUUCCCAACAACAUUAACACGGUGCCUAAGGUGUACCCAUCAUGGUUUGUUACGAGCACUUCACACUCCAAGACAAAACAGCCUCGCAUUGAAUAGACACUUGAUAAAGCGUUGAAAAAUGACAGAAGUUUUGUUGUGUGGUCCAGUAUGCCUUUUGACUCCAACCCAACAUUAGGUAGAACUCAAACUCAGCCCUUAGCAAUCAAAGCGAGACCAGCAUGGCAUCUCACCUUCUUGACCCUCAGCAAAUAUUAUUAGCCAACAAUACAAACAUCGUUAAAGUAAAUGUCGAUGGAAAUCGGCGGCAACCCCUUCUUUAACAAAUACUACAACUCGCUCAAGAAAUUAAGUAUGAAGACGUAUUGCAGCAGCGUAGCACACCACAUCUUCUCCAAUGUUGGCUACAUCAACACUUCGAACAGCAGAGCCUUGAAGAGCACCAUCAUCAUAUUGAUUUGGCACGGCAACAGCACCAGUCCAGCCCGCAUGGGCCUCAGUCAAGGACGAACCUUCCUCUCCACCUGACCCUAGCAGCCUCAGUCCACGACGACCCUCCACUGGACCUGACCCUAGCGCCUCCACCUUGACCUACGGCCUCAAUAGGUCAGCUUUGUUGAACGAUUCCAUUCUUCUGCAGGAAAUUCUGAGCACGUUGAGUUCUCGUGCACUGUUCUCAACAACUGCAAUGUCCUUGUUGAGUGAACCACACUCGAGCCCGAGUUAGUUCAGCUUGAGUGCCGGGAUAGGAACACGUGUUCCAGACACGAGGAGUUAUAGCAAAAGUUAUGUUAAAGCUAACAAUCAGUUCUCGCUGUUGGACACCAGAAAGAAUAUCAAAACAAUAAAAAGUUGGAUAACCUGUACAAAGGCAGUAACGACUUCGUUUUGAACAUUCAUGGUACAUCCCUGGGCAUGCCUCAGGUGUGAAUUCGGACAUCUGAAACGAGGUGCUAAAGGUUAACCCAUCAGGGUUUGUUACUUUGCACUCCAAGCCCAAUUGACCACACAUUGAAUUGGCAAUAGACAAGGCGUAAAAAAAUGACAGCAGUUUGGAUGUGUCAACCAGUAUGCCCUUCGACUCUCAACUCGGCCAUAAGCAAUAUCAAUUAGGCUUGCAUGUCAUCUCAGCUUCUUGAGUAUCUGAUUACAUUAUUAUCCAAGAAGAAGAACAUUGCUGAAGUAAAUGUUGAAAACAGUCCAAACCCCCUUCUCGCACAAAUACUACAAGUCGCUCAAGACAUUCAGCACGCCACCUAUGAACAGCUCGCACAAAUACUACAAGUCGCUCAAGAAAUUCAGCACGCCACCUAUGAACAUCUUGCACAAAUACUACAAGUCGCUCAAGAAAUUUAGCACGCCACCUAUGAACAUCUCCCACAAAUACUACAAGUCGUUCAAGAAAUUCAGCACGCGACCUAUGAACAUCUCCAACAAAUACUACAAGUCGCUCAAGAAAUUCAGCACGCCACCUAUGAACAUCUCCCACAAAUACUACAAGUCGUUCAAGAAAUUCAGCACGCAACCUAUGAACAUCUCCAACAAAUACUACAAGUUGCUCAAGAAAUUCAGCACGCCACGUAUGAACAUCUCGCACAAAUACUACAAGUUGUUUAAAAAUUCGGCAGGCCACCUAUGAACAUCUCGCACAAAUACUACAAGUCACUCAAGAUUCCGCACGCCACCUAUGAACAUCUCGCACAAUACUACAAGUCGCUCAAAAAAUUCAGCAUGCCAGCUAUGAACAUAUCGCACAAAUACUAAAAGUAGCUCAAGAAAUUCAGCAUGCCACCUAUGAGCAUCUCGCACAAAUACUACAAGUUGUUUAAAAAUUUGGCAGGCCACCUUUGAACAUCUCGCACAAAUACUACAAGUCGCUCAAGAUUCCGCACGCCACCUAUGAACAUCUCGCACGAAUACUACAAGUCGCUCAAGAAAUUCAGCAUGCCAGCUAUGAACAUAUCGCACAAAUACUAAAAGUCGCUCAAGAAAUUCAGCACGCCACCUAUGAACAUCUCCCAAUACUACAAGUCACUCAAGAAAUUCAGCAUGCCACCUAUGACCAUCUCGCACAAAUACUACACGUCGGUCAAGAAAUUCUGCACGCCACCUAUGAACAUCUCGCACAAAUACUACAAGUCGCUUAAGAAAUUCAGCACGCCACCUAUGAAAAUCUCCCACAAAUACCAAAAGUCGUUCAAGAAAUUCAGCACGCCACGUAUGAACAUCUACCACAAAUACUACAAGUCGUUCAAGAAAUUCAGCACGCCACCUCUGAACAUCUCGCACAAAUACUACAAGUCACUCAAGAAAUUCAGCACGCCACCUAUGAACAUUUCCCACAAAUAAUACAAGUUGUUCAAGAAAUUCAGCACGCCACGUAUGAUCAUCCCCUUGAAAUACUACAAGUCUUCAACAAAUUCAGCACGUCACCUAUGAACAUCUCACAAAUACUACAAGUCGCUCAAGAAAAUCAGCACUCCAGGUAUUAACAUCUUGCACAAAUACUACAAGUCGCUCAAGCAAUUCAGCGUGUCACCUAUGAACAUCUUGCAUGGUGGCUUGGUGAGUCUGACUUCAGUCUUGACAAGUCGCUCAAGAUAAAAUAAUCGGAUCUAA